rnacentral:lncRNA from 1 species
GCAGAUUUGUCCUCAGAUACCCUACUGUCGAGAAGGCCAUUUUUAAAUCUUUAAUAGGGCAUUAGAGCAAUUUGCCUGUGAUUUAGUUUUAAGUGGGCAAGAGGAGCGGUGACAAACGAAGCUGGGAGGCCCUAAAAUUCUUUGAAUAUCCCAUGUUUUCCUGGAACUGUUGGGAAAAGGCUGCCAGAAAGGUCUUGGCAGGUUUUCUAGGUGGCUGGCCAAGUCUGAAGCAAAUGUGGAUAGUUAAUAGGCUAAAGGAGCUCUGGUUCCAAGUCCAUACAUAUAUAUAACAUACGUUUUUAUUUAAGAAAUCCCACCACACGGAGGAGCAAAUGUAGUGCUAAUAUAUCUUCCUGAAGGAAAAUAGCAAGGGGAAAAAACACUGUCAUCUUGUAACGAUAAAAUAAGAGAUCUUUUGCCCUUACUUUUUAGGGACUUGAAUUGUCAGUCGAAGAGGAGAAGAAGUAGGAAAUGAAAUCAGUAGACAGGCAGUGGCUUUCCCAUGAGGGCCCCAUAUUAAUCAGGAAUCGCUUAUAUAGCAAUAGUUUGCGUCUAAGAAAAAAGGCAGAAGUUGUUCAAAGAAUGGAUUUCCGUUCCUAGAUUGACUUUUUGUUGUUGCCAUGCAAGUAAUUAAAAAUAGUAAUUAAGCAGGAAAGUGAUCAAGUAAUGACUUGGGACCUGCUGCUGCAUUUGCUUCCAUGUGGACAGUUGGUUCUAACAUGAAGCAGGAGGCUGCCUGUGUGGGUCUAAUCAUAAGAAUUAAGUGCUGCUACUGAAUCAUCUCGGGUAUAGGCUCAUUUGGGAGGUGUUUCUCUGUGCACUAGGGUCAGGAUCAUGGUUCUCUGUGGCCACAUGUACCUGGGGAAUAGGUGUUUACUUUGAGUUGUUCCCAGGAAACACGAGUCCAGAUUUCUCGGAGACACCAGGUGAAUUAGCUUUGUAAUUUUCAAGUUGUCUUCGCUCUAAGAGAUUCUUGUUUGUAUUCAGCUCCUGGGGCCUGUAUUGUUUUAUUAUUAAUGGGGUGAGGACCAUGCGCACCCUCCACCGUUACAGUGAAACUAUUAUUAUUUAUUAAGCCAUUGGUGCAGACCCUGAAGUUCUGUUAACAGACUUCCUACGGGAUCUUGGAUAAGUCUUUGUGUUUAUUCACUGUAUAUAAAAUAGAGGUCCUUGUUCCUCUUAAAGACAGAGGAACUAAUCCUAUGUGAAUUGUGCAGAGGCAGUCAUGUUGCAUGUCAUACUGGAAUUACAACUGAGCAUACUGUAUAUGUCUAUGAAGAAAUGUUUCAUAUGGACUGCCUCCAUGCUGACAUACACAUUCAUUAGAUGUACAGAGUUAAAGCUGACAGUAUUUACAAUCUAAUACUCUUUUUACUCAAAAUCAACUUGAAAAUGUUAUUACACUUUAAAAAUCCUAAUUAAUGUCAUUUGUUAUAAGUGAAAUAAUCUGAUAUUCAGAUUGUUCUGUUUGUUUUCUUCAUUUUGUAGCUCAUCAAAAGGUCUUUUUGCAUUAUAAACCGAACUAAAUCUAAGUUUAGUGUGUGCUAGAGCCUGCAGUGCAACGUUAAUGAUGCAGCAGUAUGGACUGGCACCAGGAGUGGGGAGACUGGCUGCUGCGCUUGCGUCCCGCUGCUAUUUCUGGCAUGCAGAGGCUGAGCAGUGUCUGAUGGGUCAAACGGUAGCAGAUGAGGAUAACAAAAGUAAUCUGGACAUAGCAACUUGCUUCCAAGGACCUCCAAACACUCCAAGGACAUGGUGCUUCCUCUCCUUCGCAGCGAGUACCACCUUCUGUUCCCACGAGCACCUUUUGAAACCUGUGCGGAGUCAGGUAUUAGGCAUCACCAACCCCACUGAGGGGACAAGAAUGGGUCCCAGGUAAGGCCCCGCAUGGCGAGGUGUGUGCUGGGUCUUCAGAGCCGUACCUGCGCUCCGCAUUGUGUAGCGCAUCUCUGGAAAAUGCAGGGAUCAGCCUCAUAAAGCACAAUGCAGAUUUAGUCGUCAUCUUUGUCUCUCCCCCCCCCCCCGCCUCGCUCUGCUCCCUGCUGAUGUUAACUGUCUGUAUUAUUAUUUAUUGUUAUCAAGG